UAUACCUACACACUCACAAAAAGAGGAAAACGGGAAAAAAUCAUAAAUCUUGCUCUCAAAGUCCACCUCCUCAAUUUGGGGUGAUUCAUUGUCUAUUCAUGUAUUCCACAGAUGCAGGGUAUAUCAAGUUGAUUGUGGAGCUUUAAUCCGCUGCUUCUGAGGCUGCCGGGAGAGAUUUCCCUUUCUCUUCUUUGUUCUCACAGCUCCUGGAAUUCAGCUUUGGGUUUGGCCCCGUCUCUGCGUGUAGGUUGCCGGAGUGCUUCUGUUCUUCGCUCAGACAGGGCGGGGUUAAAGGAGCAGAUGACUCAGGGACUCUGGCUCACUCAGGCCGGGGGGAGGGAGGGGUAUGGAGUGCAGAGUGAGCCUGCGGUGGCAGAGGCUGGCAUGACGUUGCACCAGGCGGAGGCGCGCCAUGUGUUCUCCCGGGGAAGUUGUCCCUGGAUCCCGGGACCCUGGCAGUGGUGGGCUGCACAGGCUCCCCGGAAGUGGGGUGUGGAUAGUGACCUGUGCUCUUACAUAGGCUUCUUGUUGGCGGCAGCAGCAGACUUAGCAUCUCAUGCCUGUCUCUGGGGUCCGUGCUUUUAGCCAUGGCUCACGCCCGUCUCUGGAGCUCCUUUAAGCAGCGCUCUUAAUCCCCUCUCCUCGCGCACCAGGAAGCAGAGGGAAGAAAAUGUCUCUUGCCUCUUUGGCAGGUCCAGACUUUUCCCCGGACUCCCUCCCGGCUAGCCGUGGUGCACUAACCCCUUCAGGCUGUGCUCACGCCGCCAACCCCAGUCCUCUCCCUGCGCUCCCACCGAAGCCCGAGCCUCAGCUCCCAGCCCCGCCCGCCCCGGCGGGUGAGCAGACAAGCCUCUCGGGCUGGUGAGUGCUGGGCGGCACCGAUCCUCUGCGCGGGAAUCUCUCCGCUUUGCCCUCUGCACCCCUGUUGCUGCGCUCUCCUCGGUGGCUCCAAAACUUCCCCGCUCCGCCACCCGCAGUCUCUGGGGCUUCCUAGUGUGUGGAAACCUUUCCUUCUUCACAGCUCCCUCCCAGGGGUGCAGGUCCCGUCCCUAUUCUUUUGUGUCUGUUUAUUCUUUUUUAUUUUGCCCUACCCAGGUACAUGGGGAGUUUCUUGCCUUUUGGGAGGUCUGAGGUCUUCUGCCAGCGUUCAGUAGGUGUUCUGUAUCAGUUGUUCCCCGUGAAGAUGUAUUUCUGGUGUAUCUGUGGGGAGGAAGGUGAUCUCCGCGUCUUACGCUUCCUCCAUCUUCCCCUCAUCCCUGUUCUGUGAGUUCUUUAAAGGACAUGCCUGCGCUAACUCCCUGAUUCCAGAGGAGGAUGAGAGACAUAUGGCGCAUAGCUGAGUCACCUCAGCCAAGGCCAGCCUAGAUCAGCCAACCCCUAACCAAGCUGAGAUCACAGCUGAGAUUUAGCAAAACUGUCCAGUGAAGCCCAGUUUGGAUCAUCACUGAGCCUUGCAGACAUGUGAGAAAUAAAUGUUUGUUGUUUUA